UGGAAGCUUACCGGGGAAGAUCGCAGGAUGACGGCCAGGCUAAUGGCCUUGCCUGACUCGCGGAGAGGAGGUGCAUGGCCGUCGCCAGUUCGUGUUGUGAAAUGUCCGGUUAAGUCCGGCAACGAGCGAGACCCCCACCCCUAGUUGGUACUCUGGCCUCCGGGCCAGGGCCACACUAGGGGGACUGCCGCCGUAAGGCGGAGGAAGGAGGGGGCCACGGCAGGUCAGCAUGCCCCGAAACCCCCGGGCCGCACGCGGGUUACAAUGGCAGGGACAGCGGGAUCCUGCCCCGAGAGGGGUGGGCAAUCCCUAAACCCUGCCUCAGUUGGGAUCGAGGGCUGCAACUCGCCCUCGUGAACGAGGAAUCCCUAGUAACCGCAGGUCACCAACCUGCGGUGAAUACGUCCCUGCUCCUUGCACUCACCGCCCGUCAAACACAAAG
rnacentral:rRNA from 1 species